CCUACGGGUGGCAGCAGUGGGGAAUUUUGGACAAUGGGCGCAAGCCUGAUCCAGCUAUUCCGCGUGUGGGAUGACGGCCUUCGGGUUGUAAACCACUUUUGUAGAGAACGAAAAGUCUGUUGAUAAUACCGAUAGAUGAUGACGGUACUCUAAGAAUAAGCACCGGCUAACUACGUGCCAGCAGCCGCGGUAAUACGUAGGGUGCGAGCGUUAAUCGGAAUUACUGGGCGUAAAGGGUGUGCAGGCGGGUUUGCAAGAUGGAUGUGAAAGCCCCGGGCUUAACCUGGGAAAGCUAUACAGGACUGGAAGUCUAGAGUGCGUCAGAGGGGGGUGGAAUUACAAGGGUAGCAGGGAAAUGGGGAGAUAUUUGGAAGAACACCGAUGGAGAAGGCAGCCCCCUGGGACGCAACUGACGCUCAUACACGAAAGCGGGGGGAGCAAACAGGAUUAGAUACCCGUGUAGUC
rnacentral:rRNA from 1 species